rnacentral:lncRNA from 1 species
GGAGAAAUUAUGACCGAGAGCCUGACACCUGAUGCUGGCGGCUUUUGUCUCUCCAAGUUGGGCCAGUAUUUGGCCAUCUUAUGCGGCGGGUGACUAUGGUGUCCCAGUAAGUGGCUGACGUGGCAGGCGUCCCUGGAGUGGGAGAAGAGAUGGGAAUAUGUAUUACCUGAAAGCAGAGAGCAGUUGUUGCAUUGGAUCAUUCAGAGAGUAUGCAGCCACAACCAUGCCUUAGAUGUGUGUAAUUCAAGUGGAGAAGACACAAGCCAGUGGUUGCAAUAUCAUCAACACUUGAGUGUUCUGUAAUCGGAUUGGUGUCAGCAGAAAACCAACAACGAUGUGGUGGCACACAGUGAACUGACCAGACCCAGGCAGCAGUGGCUCUUUUGGUGGCAAUGGUG